rnacentral:lncRNA from 1 species
AGUGAUGUUUAAGUCCCUGAAACAAGCUACUUCAUGGCAGAGGAAUGACAACACUGCAUGCAUCUUCGAAACAUGUUACUAUGGCAGAUGUGACUUUAGAGAAGAUGAUGUAAAUGAGCACCAAAUCGCUGUUUUAUCAAAAGCACCUAAGCUAACAGGACAUCUUGUCAAGGAGAAGGCUUGCUUCCUUUCAAACUGAAGAGGGAGCUGAACCUCAGUCUGCAUCUCCUUAGGUGAGUAAUCUAAAUAAUAAAUUUUGGUUAGCGGUUCA